UAAUUAAAAAAAGGAACGACAAACACCCAAUUUAUAACCCCCAAAAGACAAAACACCUCUUUUCUUCAGUUCUUUUACUUCUUCACUUCUUAUUUCUUCAAAUCAAAGUUAAAUCCCUAAACAGUUUAGUGACUAAACACACAAAAUUUAGAAGAAAAAUUGAAGAGUUUUAGAAACUCUAUCAUCCUCUCCUCUGAAAUUCUUGGAAUAUGUUGUUGGCUGUUGUGUUGUGUGCCUUCUCAAUUCUCCCUAAUCCCUUCAUCGGUUCAUCCCUAAAGUCUCUAUCUAAAGAACAUAUGCACUGCAGAAGUGCAGAUUCAAGACAUGCAAGCAAGAAGCCAAGCAAAGCAAGAACCAAGACAAAAUUUCAGACAUAGAGACCCUUUCUGUCCUCUACGUCUUAACUAGGGGGAAGGGUUGGAAUUGCUCUAGGUUGCUACGACAAACAACAUUUGGCUACGGGAUGGAGGGAAUGAGUUGGUUUUGGGUUAUACUUUAUGAGGGAGAUAGAGGAUGACAUCAUGGCAUAAUAUCAAUAUCAUUCUCGGGAUCAAUUUAUAAGGUUCGUUAACAGAAUUGACCUUUUCAAAAAAGGCAACACGAUUGGGGCAGAUAUGUUGAAUAUGGAUCAUGAUGAUGAAGAUUCCCUACUUGUGACUCUAGAUUGGAAGAAGAGGCCUUAUUUUGAUACUAUGGGCUCCAUUAUUUUUGUGGGUAUAGAUUUGCUAGAGAUCAAUGAUGAGCGUGUUGAAGCUCCAAUUCAACAAAUAUUGGCGGAUGCUUGUAGGCAAGUCAACCGGACAACAUGAAGAUUCCAUGUUGGAAUGUCCUUAGUUAGGGGAACCCACGAGCAAUUUGCAGACUUCAUCACAUGUUGAAAGUCUAUCAUCGCCAACUCGUCUUCUUUAUGGAGGAAAAGCUUCUCGACGAAUGGAAAUGGUUCAGAAACGGUGUGGAUAUUAGAAUGGUAUUGAUGUUACAACAAAUGGUUUGCAAGGUGGAUUAUAUUUAAGAUGGAAUGAUGAUGAGUUGGUUCAACUACUAAGUUUCUCAGUAAAUCAGAUUGAUGUCGAUAUGUAUAAGGGUUUGGAGUACUUUACUGGUUUUUAUGGGGAUCCUAAUCCUUAAGAGAAAUCUAACAAAUGGAACUUAUUGAAAACCUUUGGGACUUCGCAUGUUUUGCCUUGAUUAGUUUGUGGUGAUUUUAAUGACAACUUGUAUUCUUUCAAAAAGCAAUAUGUGUUCACAUGGGAGAGGAGAAAUUUGCCUGAGAUGAACAUUCGGGAACAUCUUGAUCAUGGAGUCACCUCUUCGUAUUGGAUGCAUAUUUUCCUGAAUUUCUCCGUACGACAUCUAUCUCAUUUUUUCUUUGACUAUUUCCCUUUGCUAUUACAAACGGAUCAAAGGGAUACAGAAAGAAAAUUGAACAGUUUCACUUUGAAUCCUGGUGGUUCUUGGAAGAUUCUUGUGAGGCGAAAAUCAAGCAUUUGUAGGAUUCAAGUACAUGAGACAUUUCGAAUAAACUUUUUAAACUUAACGAUGGACUGCAACACUGGGCGGGGUUUAUUAAAUAGAAAAGGUCAACAGUCGAGAAGAACUUUUUGAGAAGACUCGAGUACUUAGAGGGCCAAGAAAGAUCCAAGGCAAUGCUAAUAGAAUUAAUGAUGUUCACUUGCUUAUUAAUAUGUAGAAGGAGGAGAGGUAUUGGGAAUAACGGGCGAUGGCACACUAGUUGAAGUUGGGAGAUAGGAUUACUUCCUUUUUUUCAUAACUUUGCUUCUCAGAGAUGACGUACUAAGAAAAUAUGUGGUUUAUAGUAGAAGGAUGGUAGUUUGGCCUUGGACUUUAAUGAGAUGGAUCGUAUUGCGAAAGAGUAUUUCUUGGGUCUUUUUUCUACACGGAGUAGGUAAUGUUGAUCAUAUUUUGUCCAGAGUGGAGAGAUACAUGAUUGAUGAUAUGAAUAAUAUGUUGACGGACAAAUAUGGGAAGAGGAAUUAGUGGCAGCCAUGAAGGUGAUGGGUCAGACGAAGGCUUCGGGAGCAAAUGGUUUCCCAACGUUGUUCUACCAGAAAUUCUGACAUAUUAUCAGCAAGAAUGUGGGUGUGUUCUGUCUAGAAAUCCUCAACAAUGGUAAAUCUUUGGUGAGGCUGAACAACACUUAUAUAAUGCUCAUUCCGAAGGUGGUGUGCCCUACAAAUAUCACUAACUUUCGACCUUCAAGUAUUUUUAAAGUGUUGUAUAAAAUAAUUGCUAAGACAAUUGUAAAUUGACUUCGAAAGAUUCUCGAUCUCUGUAUUGAUAAGGCACAACGUGCAUUCGUUCUUAGGAGGUUAAUCACUGACAAUGUGCUUUUGUCCUAUGAAGUCUUGCAUACAUUUAAACAAAAACGGAUGGAGAGCAAAUGAUAUUGGCUUUGAAGUUGGACAUUAACAAA